rnacentral:rRNA from 1 species
AGAGUUUGAUCCUGGCUCAGAAUGAACGUUGGCGGCGUGGAUUAGGCAUGCAAGUCGUACGCUUUAUGUAGCAAUACAUGAGGAGUGGCGAAAGGGAGAGUAAUGCAUGGUUAGCUACCCCCGGGACUGGGAUAGCGGCGGGAAACUGCCGGUAAUACCAGAUGACAUCUGCGGAUCAAAGGUGUAAAUCCGCCCGGGGAGGCGACCGUGUCCUAUCAGCUAGUUGGCGGUGUAAUAGACCACCAAGGCAAAGACGGGUAUGGGGCGUGAGAGCGUGCCCCCACUCACUGGGACUGAGACACUGCCCAGACACCUACGGGUGGCUGCAGUCGAGAAUCUUCGGCAAUGGGCGCAAGCCUGACCGAGCGACGCCGCGUGCGGGAUGAAGGCCUUCGGGUUGUAAACCGCUGUCGUAGGGGAGGAAGGUCGCGUGUAGAACGCGGCUUGACCGAUCCUAGGAGGAAGGGCCGGCUAAUCUCGUGCCAGCCGCCGCGGUAAUAC